rnacentral:lncRNA from 1 species
AUGCAACAACCUCUGCUAAGUGAGCCUUUUGUAGACAUGAACGACCCGGACCAGAGAUUUUCGUUUUUCAAAGAGUUGGCGGCAAAACGCAGAGCUGAAAAGGCGGCAGAGGAGGCCAAAUUAAAACAAGAAACUCCAGCGAAAGAAGAUGAAAAGAAAAAGGAGGAACAGCAACCUCCAAAAGAUGUUAGCAAAACUAGUGACAAGUCAAAUGAGGAUAGUAAGAAAAUAGAUGCUAAAACUGAUCAAGUAGAAAGUGGUGACAAAAAGGUGUCGCCUGCAACAAAAGUAGAAACCAAAAUAGUCACAAAAGAUAAGGAAGAACCUAACAAAGCGGUGAAAACACAGAAGGAUGUAGUGCGCACAACUGUUGAGAAGCCUAAAGAGAAAACAGAUGCUAAGCCUUCGGAUGUAGGUAGUAAAAUGGAUAGUGGGGUCAAAAACCAGCCUACGGUAAUGCAAAGCUGUGAAAAAAUAGAAACUAAAGUUGCAACUGAUUCUGAAAAGAUUGAGGCAAAACAAAGCCAAGCAUCUACGGAAAAAUCGACACAAGAAAAAAGGACUUCAGAAGCAAAUGUAGCAGCUGCACAGGCUAAUGUUGACAAAGUUACUGAGGAAACCCAACCAGCUGCUACCACCGAUGCUACCUCAAAAGAUCCACUAUUAAAAACUAGCAGGUCGGUACCUGAUCUUGCAAACGCUAACAUGUCAGAUCUGCUCUCCUCUCUGCCAUCUGCAAGAAUGUCUGAACGCUCAUCCCAAGAGGCUAACAAAGACACCGCACCCAAACCCAGAUUAUGGUGCCCGUCUUUACACAGACGGGAGCCGCUUAAGGCAUUUGGAGAGAAACCAAAGAGCGUUUCGAGUGUUGUUCAAAUUGAGGGGGCAACAGAGGAGGCCAGUCCAUCGAGUGUAACACAUGUAAAGUCUCAAACUGGCGAUAAAACGGAGACAGAGCAAAAUCAGGAUUCUAAAGUUGAAACAGCAACGAGUGCCACUGAAAGUAAAGAAAGUGCCAAAGUGAAGUUUCAGCAUUUGCCGGCAAUUUCUGAAAAUACACAGCCACAACAGGACGGUAAAGAAACCAGUCCAUCGUCAAAGAAAUCGUCUGCAUUGCCAAUCAUCCCUGAAACGUCAUCGGCUAUUCCUGACAAAGCAAAACCACAAACUGAGAAUUCAGCAAACUCUACAACCGGUGGCAUUCAAGUUAAAGAGGACAGUAAAGAUUCUCAUUCGCAAUCAAUAACUCCAGAACAGACAAAAGCGGAAGAGAAAACUGAACUGCCAGUUAAAGAGGCAAAGGAUAAGGAAGCAUCAGUUAAAAGUAGUGCAAGCGACCAAAGCGAAAAGCCCACCCAAGCAGCUGUAAUCGCACAACAGACAAAUCAAGACAAGGCUAGUGACGUUAAAGACAGUGAAAACCCCAGUCCGUCACAAUCAAUUGCUUCAGUAGAGCAGCCAUCGAAGGACCAGCCCAAAACGGAGCUAAAGCAACCGUUGAGUCAAACUGAACAGGGAAAAUGUAGUGACGAACAAGUACAUACCUCUGUAAAAGAGGUAGAGCAGACAGCGGAGAGCUUGGUCAUUACGCCCAUUUCAAAAGGCGUUGAAAAGUCAAGUAGCGCGUCUCCUGUCACUUGUUCUGAAGACGUCACCCAGCUUGAGUCCCAUUCAGACACAUCGAGUCCCGCGUCUUUCGCCACAGCCAAUGAGUUUAUGUCCUCAGAAGAUUCUGACAUGUUUUCGCCGAUCAAAGGAGACCCACAGCAUCUGUUUAAAUUGGAGUCAAGCGUGUCCGACAUGUCUGAUUUCGUAACACCCAGCUCAGAAAUAAGCAUGUCCCCGAUACCCUCUGCAGUAGAUAUGGAUGAUACUUUUGAGGAUAACGUGUCCAUAGCUGAAACAGUGAUAGAGGCUGCGUCGAGGCGGCAAUCUGAGGCAAUUGAGGAGAGGGAAGCGGAUGGAGAAGAUUCGUUAAAGACCUGCGAGGAUGGAAAGUUAGGAGAAAAGACUGCAAAAUCAGAAGAAGUUUCCAGUGAUACACAAUUUGAAGUUAGCAUUACAACAAAGGAGCCCUCUGUUUGUCCAGCAAGCUCAGAGGUUGAACAAGAAACCAAAAUGGCAGAAAAAGCUACCGAAGUUAUGACAGAAAGUAGCAUUAAAGAGAAAUCUGAUCGCGCUAAUGAGGGUAGUAAAGAUAUUCAAAGUGAGGCAAGCAAGAAGGAAAAGGAUGUGAAAACUCAGGACUUAACUAGCCAAUCAGAAACAAAGGGCCAAUUGAGCAAAGAAAAGACGGCAGAUCCAACCUGUCCAGCUACCUCAGAAGAGAGAAAAGGUACAGUCACUGAUGUUACCAAAGAGGCGAAAACAGUAGCUAAAGUGUCUGAAAUUAGUAGUACAGACAGUGCUGUAGGCAAAGAGCCAACUCCAGAGGGCUCGAAACGUGACGCAAAAACUAGAAUAGUUUCGAGCAGGUUUCUAAGUGAACCGAGUACUGCAUCCGUGAAGACCAACGCAAGUACAGACACUCCUAAAGUUACAAAAGAGGUGACAGUCGUUGAGAAGACUGAUGAGGCUAAAGAGAAAAAAGGCCCAAAUCUAGAGACGAGAGAAUCUGAAACAAAGCCGGUGGAAACUGAUACAAACACGGAAAUCAGCAACAUGGAGGUUAAAAUGGUAGACCAAACUACGGAAAAUGAAAGUAAAGAGGCGCCUGCUUCUGAAAAUGUAGUCAGUGAAAAAGAUGAUAAAGGUGACACAAAGACAGAGGUAUCGAGUAGUGAAAGCUCGGCUAAACAAUCCCUAACAGGUCCAGCAAAACAGGAAACUAAAACUACAGACAAGGCUAGUGAAAUUACCACUAAAGACACAGCUGACUCCAUUGAAAAGUGUAGUAAAGAUAGUCAAGCGGAUGUCAGAAAAGAGACCAUAUCAAGUCCAGCUACCUCAGAAGACACAACAGUAUUGGUCAAAGAAUCCAAAGUUAUCAAAGAAAUGUCUACUGAUGAUCAAAGCGAACAGAAGAGCAAAGACACCAGUGUAAAUAGCAAGGACUUAGAGCAAAACACCAACCCUGAUCAAUCUGCAAAAACGAUUGAAACAGCGCCCCCUAGUGCUCAGCCAAAGCAACAACCAAAGCCAUCCCGCUACCUCUCCUCCACUGCCAAUGUCAUCUCUAGCAGUAAUCUGAGGGACGACACCAAGAUCUUGCUGGAGAAAAUAUCGGCGCAGAGCCAAAGCCGGAACGAGUCGGCCGCGGCGAAAGAAGCUCCGGUCACAGAUGACGAGAAGGAGGACGAGGCGGAUAAAAAUGCCAAACGUAAAAAGGAAAACGAGUUGAGGUCGUCUUUAGGGCAACAGAAGGCGAGUCAGGAACGAGAGAAAGUACUAGAGAGGAUUCAGACCAUGAGGAAGGAUAGGAAAGUGUACAGUAGAUUUGAAUUAUGA